UGCAAGUGGUCUCCAUUUUCAUUUGGUCUGCAUUAUCCCAACAGCAUUUAAUUCUUAUUCAGAUCCUAAGAAUAUUCUAUGACAGCACUGUUUUUGGAAAAUAAAAUUUCAAGAUAUGCUGUGUGUGCUUCUAGCCUGAAGAAUAAGUAGUAAGAACAUCAAUCAAGAGAUGAGAAAAAAAAGUCAGGAUUUUCUGCCUUGGAGAAAUGCUUACCAACCACCAGAGGAAGAUUUGUUCACGAACAAUGAACAUUUCUCAUGAGGAUUCAGAUUAACAUAGGACUAAUCUUAGUUUUGGGGAAUGAAUGAGCUUCCUUUCUUGCUAUUUUUUUGUUUUUAAUUUUGUGGUAAGCUAUGAUAUGUGGAUGGAUUUUGGAAAAAUUCUUUCCUGAUAAUAUAUUUAGCACAUGUUCUACAUCAUAAUCCUAUAGCAAACAGCAGGAGCAUCAUUCAAACUUAAAGACAGUGGGGAAAAAAAAUCUCAGUUUCCAAUUUAUUCUCAGAUUUCUUCACCAUGUAAUUAUUCUGUUAACGCCUUGCUGGUGGAAAUGCAAACCACGUCUAUCAAGAAAUAAACUUUAUUUUUUCAUCGUGUUGAACACAAUUGGUGGCAACGUGCACAGAACCUGACCGCUAUUAGUAGAAGAUACGUAAUGGACACAAAUUCUCAUUUCACCUUCAAAAAUACAAGCCAGCUUUGCCAUCCGAUCAAGAAUAAGGAGGGUAAAUCAAGGAGGAAUCCUCCUUUUUUUUUUUUCCUGAUCAUU